rnacentral:rRNA from 1 species
GACGAACGCUGGCGGCGUGCUUAACACAUGCAAGUCGAACGAAGUGGCGAACGGGUGAGUAACGCGUAAUCAACCUGCCCUUCAGAGGGGGACAACAGUUGGAAACGACUGCUAAUACCGCAUACGGAAGGAGGGGAUUGCGUCUGAUUAGCUAGUUGGAGGGGUAACGGCCCACCAAGGCGAUGAUCAGUAGCCGGUCUGGGGGGAUGAACGGCCAAAUUGGGACUGAGACACGGCCCAGACUCCUACGGGAGGCAGCAGUGGGGAAUCGUCCGCAAUGGACGAAAGGCUUGCGGAGCAAAGGCGCGUGAGUGAUGACGGCCUUCGGGUUGUAAAGCUCUGUUAAUCGGGACGCGGUACCGGAAUAGAAAGCCACGGCUAACUACGUGCCAGCAGCCGCGGUAAUAC